UCUGGGAAACCCGAAAGAUCGAAUGGGGAGAUUCAUCGUCAGCAACGUCGGCUUUUCGGUGGUUCUUGAUACGCUGCGUCCAUCCGAGCAUUUGCCGCACGAAUCCUCCGUGCAAACUCAUGUCCGGCGGCGUUAUCGUGCACUUCUCCCCUAGUAGGACGUCGAGACAUGUUGGGUGUCUCUCUACGGCUCGAGUCGUCGCCUGUCCGGUCGCUUCGGCGUUUCGGGGCAAACGCUCGGUUGUCCGGCCGACUGCCCGGCGGUACUUGCAUGGUAUCUGACCGGAAUCUCGAACUGCGUCUGAGGCCCGCUGCAAGCGCGGUCAGUGUAAACUCGGAGGUACGGACCCAGCGCCGUCCCCGGGCAUGGCCCGCUGUUCACCGGCGGUGGUCUCUGACCGGUCACGAGAAACGAUACCAGUCGGCAAUGCUAUUAUUGCUUUGGGUACUUUCAGG
rnacentral:rRNA from 1 species